AAUAGGUGAAUGAGGUUAAGAGUGCACGUAUCAUGUUGAGCACUGAGUAAUAUAUGGAACUGUCUAAUCACUAUGCUGUACACCUGAAACUAAAAUAAUACUGUAUGUUAGCUACACUUGAAUUAAAAGUAAAAAAUGGUAAAAGGAAAAGAAAAAGAAAAGAAAACAAAGUACAAAUUAUAGGAAGAUAUUUGUAAUAUAUACAACCCAAAGAAGUCUAAUAUCAAGAAUAUGUAAAUCCAAUGUAUAUCUAAUAUUUGACUGACAAAAAUUAAGAAGUCUUAAAAUGUGGAGAGAUGGAGAGAUGGGGAUCAAACCAAUUUUUCUGCAUUGCUAGUGCAAGUUGAUAAUUCAAUACAACCUCAUUAGAAAACCUGCCAUUGUCUGUAAUGGUAAAAAUUUGUAUACCCCGUGACUCAGCCAUUUUACUUACAGUUUAGCCCUAAGUAUUUGGACACCUGUACAAGAACAUUGAUUGUAGUUCUCUCUGACACAGGAAAACAAUCAAUCUGGAAACAGCCCAAGUGCUCUUGAGGGAAUGAGAAAAUGAAUGGUGCUGUAUUCACAGAAUGGGAUACUAUACAGCAGUGAAAACUUAAAAAACUACAGCUAGAUGCAACAAAGCCAUUAUUAGAGUGGAAAUUAGCUGGGACCCAGUGCUUAGAAAGACUUCAUGUUAUUCUUCUACCAGAAAACCAGGAGACCUUUGGGGACCUCCAAUGCAGUUCUGUCAUCACUAACCCUUUCUGAUCUGUAUGGAAAAAGAAAGAAUUCUUCUAAACAGCACAGCAACACCUUCGUCCACCAACCUGGGAGCAUGAAUAGAAUCACAGAGUACCAGUGCCUUGUCUUGCUUAUGUUCCAUCUACUCAGCAUGUCUGAAAUCCUGCCCAGGUGA
rnacentral:lncRNA from 1 species